rnacentral:lncRNA from 1 species
CCCGAACCUAUCAUUGAGCGCAUUGUGACCUCACAGUAAUUUUGUGUGUGUUUUAAUACAAAGCCUACCUACAGGAUACCCCAGAUCCUUAAACAAAAACAUAUCACGAAAACACUGACGCUUUGCAUUAUUGCGUAUGCAUGCUACUGAUACUGAAAAUUGCACCAGGUGUGAUGUGACCGUGUGAGGAUUAAACCAACCUGAUUCACUAUUGAACAAUAGUGAAUCACACAUAUGAAUGCAUGCGUUCAUAUGCAUGUGCAUAUGAACAUUGCACAGUGUAAUAUUCAACAUUUCCACAUUCAAUAAUCAUAAAAUAUCUGAUUGACUAAACUACUACGCUACUACGCAUUACAAGUUUUGGUAGCAGGUGGCAGUAUCUGAAACCAAACCUUUCAAACCCGCAAGAACGACACCCUCAUAUCAAUUUGGGGGCAAAGUGGGGUUUUCUCCCGGAGGCCAAGGGAAGCCAUGCUUCCCUGUUUUUUUAGACAUCCAAAACAUUUAUAUUAACAGUUUCGGUUAUUCUUUGGUGCCGUGUUGCUGUCAUUUUUUCCACAUUUUCUCGUCUCAUUGAGCAUUUCAAAAUGCGCCCCUCUAAAUGUUAAAGGCCCACUAUGCAACUUUUUUAGCCAAAAUUACAUUAAGUAUGCAGGUUGAGAGUUAUGCUGAUGGUUCUGCAUCCAUUUCUGGGUCGAUUGGUGGGUGUGUCAUUUACCCAUGUCGCCUCUCCAGUGAAAAAGCGCAUAUGCAACUUGAUCUGUUCGGACCGACACAAUCCGGAUGUGAUGCAGCGGAAGUAUCCUCGAAAAUGUAGUCAGAUUGUAGUUUCGAAAAUGCUUUACGGCACAGACACACACCCAAACAUGGCACCGGCUAGAUAUAAACAGCCAGUUGCGAGGCAAUUGUUGCAUUCAUCAUGGAUCAAUCGACUAAUGAUCAGCCGACUAAAAAGAGACAGAGAACCCCAAUGUCGGAGGAACAGAAGAAGAGAAAAGGGAGACUGA